UAAGGAAUAUUGGACAAUGGAGGCAACUCUGAUCCAGCCAUCCCGCGUGCAGGACGAAUGCCCUAUGGGUUGUAAACUGCUUUUGUGAGGGAAGAACCGGGCUCAUUCAUGAGCUUUUGACGGUACCUUACGAAUAAGCACCGGCUAACUCCGUGCCAGCAGCCGCGGUAAUACGGAGGGUGCAAGCGUUAUCCGGAAUCACUGGGUUUAAAGGGUGCGUAGGCGGCCUAGUAAGUCAGGGGUGAAAGGUCACGGCUCAACCGUGGAAUUGCCUUUGAUACUGCUGGGCUUGAAUCAGGAUGAGGUCGGCGGAAUGUGGCAUGUAGCGGUGAAAUGCAUAGAUAUGCCAUAGAACACCAAUUGCGAAGGCAGCUGGCUAGACCUUGAUUGACGCUGAGGCACGAAAGCGUGGGGAGCGAACAGG
rnacentral:rRNA from 1 species